rnacentral:rRNA from 1 species
AGCGAACGCUGGCGGCAGGCCUAACACAUGCAAGUCGAACGAAGUCUUCGGACUUAGUGGCGGACGGGUGAGUAACACGUGGGAACGUGCCUUUAGGUUCGGAAUAACUCAGGGAAACUUGUGCUAAUACCGAAUGUGCCCCUCGGGGGAAAGAUUUAUCGCCUUUAGAGCGGCCCGCGUCUGAUUAGCUAGUUGGUGAGGUAAUGGCUCACCAAGGCUACGAUCAGUAGCUGGUCUGAGAGGAUGACCAGCCACAUUGGGACUGAGACACGGCCCAAACUCCUACGGGAGGCAGCAGUGGGGAAUCUUGCGCAAUGGGCGAAAGCCUGACGCAGCCAUGCCGCGUGGAUGAUGAAGGUCUUAGGAUUGUAAAAUCCUUUCACCGGGGACGAUAAUGACGGUACCCGGACAAGAAGCCCCGGCUAACUUCGUGCCAGCAGCCGCGGUAACAC